rnacentral:rRNA from 1 species
UACUCCGAAUGCAUCCAGAUUAUUANUGAUCAUGGCUCAGAGUGAACCGCUGGCGGUAGGCCUAACACAUGCAAGUCGAACGGCAGCACAGGAGAGCUUGCUCUCUGGGUGGCGAGUGGCGGACGGGUGAGGAAUACAUCGGAAUCUACUCUGUCGUGGGGGAUAACGUAGGGAAACUUACGCUAAUACCGCAUACGACCUACGGGUGAAAGCAGGGGAUCUUCGGACCUUGCGCGAUUGAAUGAGCCGAUGUCGGAUUAGCUAGUUGGCGGGGUAAAGGCCCACCAAGGCGACGAUCCGUAGCUGGUCUGAGAGGAUGAUCAGCCACACUGGAACUGAGACACGGUCCAGACUCCUACGGGAGGCAGCAGUGGGGAAUAUUGGACAAUGGGCGCAAGCUUGAUCCAGCCAUACCGCGUGGGUGAAGAAGGCCUUCGGGUUGUAAAGCCCUUUAUGUUGGGAAAGAAAUCCAGCUGGCUAAUA